GAAAAGUUAGUUAAAUAAUAACAUAAAAUUGUCAAUUUUAAAUUACCAUGUCAAAUAGUACUUAUCA
rnacentral:tRNA from 1 species